GCACACAGACAUUUGGGGACACUGAGACAUGGGGACACUGAGAGACAUGGGGACACAGACACUGGGGGACUAGGGGACAUUGGGAGACUAGGGGACAUGGGGAGCCAUGGGGACACUGAGAUACUAAGGACACUGGCUGGGAGACAUGGGGACACUGGGAGACAUGGAGACACUGUGUCCCAAUGUGUCUCCCUAUGUCUCACAUCAUCCCCAUGUGUCUCAGCAUCCCCAUGUC